rnacentral:rRNA from 1 species
UGGGGAAUAUUGCACAAUGGGCGCAAGCCUGAUGCAGCAACGCCGCGUGAACGAUGAAGGUCUUCGGAUCGUAAAGUUCUGUUGCAGGGGAAGAUAAUGACGGUACCCUGUGAGGAAGCCCCGGCUAACUACGUGCCAGCAGCCGCGGUAAUACGUAGGGGGCUAGCGUUAUCCGGAUUUACUGGGGGUAAAGGGUGCGUAGGUGGUCUUUCAAGUCGGUGGUUAAAGGCUACGGCUCAACCGUAGUUAGCCUCCGAAACUGGAAGACUUGAGUGCAGGAGAGGAAAGUGGAAUUCCCAGUGUAGCGGUGAAAUGCGUAGAUAUUGGGAGGAACACCAGUAGCGAAGGCGGCUUUCUGGACUGCAACUGACACGGAGGCACGAAAGCGUGGGUAGCAAACAGG